UAGCCUGGAAAUCAGACGAUUGCUGUCAACAGAAAUUCUCACUAUGUUUAAAGCUAUGAAAAGAACAUCUGAUUUUUUCUACACAUUUUAGACAAAAAAAUAUAUAGAAUGGUUGAGGUUGAGAGAGACCAAAGCCACCAAACCCAGAAGGAUAUCAAGUAGAAGUACAAAAGUCAGAAAAAGCAAGAAGCUGCAAAUCAUUUCCACCUCAGUGUGUCAGAGCCCACAGUCAUUUACUCCCUAAUGACAUCCCAGGACUUGGAAUAAAAGGGAUGGGAAUCAU